rnacentral:rRNA from 1 species
UAGGGAAUCUUCGGCAAUGGACGAAAGUCUGACCGAGCAACGCCGCGUGAGUGAAGAAGGUUUUCGGAUCGUAAAACUCUGUUGUUAGAGAAGAACAAGGACGUUAGUAACUGAACGUCCCCUGACGGUAUCUAACCAGAAAGCCACGGCUAACUACGUGCCAGCAGCCGCGGUAAUACGUAGGUGGCAAGCGUUGUCCGGAUUUAUUGGGCGUAAAGCGAGCGCAGGCGGUUUCUUAAGUCUGAUGUGAAAGCCCCCGGCUCAACCGGGGAGGGUCAUUGGAAACUGGGAGACUUGAGUGCAGAAGAGGAGAGUGGAAUUCCAUGUGUAGCGGUGAAAUGCGUAGAUAUAUGAAGGAACACCAGUGGCGAAGGCGGCUCUCUGGUCUGUAACUGACGCUGAGGCUCGAAAGCGUGGGGAGCAAACAGG